CAGUCGCCGCGGUAAUACGAAGGGUGCAAGCGUUAAUCGGAAUUACUGGGCGUAAAGCGUGCGUAGGCGGUGAGUUAAGUCUGCUGUGAAAUCCCCGGGCUCAACCUGGGAAUGGCAGUGGAUACUGGCUCGCUAGAGUGUGUCAGAGGAUGGUGGAAUUCCCGGUGUAGCGGUGAAAUGCGUAGAGAUCGGGAGGAACAUCAGUGGCGAAGGCGGCCACCUGGGACAACACUGACGCUGAGGCACGAAAGCGUGGGGAGCAAACAGGAUUAGAUACCCCGGUAGUCCCUGUCUCUUAUAC
rnacentral:rRNA from 1 species